CAGUAGCCACGGUAAUACGUAGGGUGCGAGCGUUAAUCGGAAUUACUGGGCGUAAAGCGUGCGCAGGCGGUUUUGUAAGACAGGCGUGAAAUCCCCGGGCUCAACCUGGGAAUGGCGCUUGUGACUGCAAAGCUAGAGUGCGGCAGAGGGGGAUGGAAUUCCGCGUGUAGCAGUGAAAUGCGUAGAUAUGCGGAGGAACACCGAUGGCGAAGGCAACCCCCUGGGCCUGCACUGACGCUCAUGCACGAAAGCGUGGGGAGCAAACAGGAUUAGAUACCCGGGUAGUCCCUGUCUCUUAUAC
rnacentral:rRNA from 1 species